AUUGAACGCUGGCGGCAGGCUUAACACAUGCAAGUCGAGCGAGCGGCGGACGGGUGAGUAAUGUCUGGGAAACUGCCUGAUGGAGGGGGAUAACUACUGGAAACGGUAGCUAAUACCGCAUACCAUCAGAUGUGCCCAGAUGGGAUUAGCUAGUAGGUGGGGUAAUGGCUAACCUAGGCGACGAUCCCUAGCUGGUCUGAGAGGAUGACCAGCCACGCUGGAACGUAGACACGGUCCAGACUCCUACGGGAGGCAGCAGUGGGUAAUAUUGCACAAUGGGCUCAAGCCUGAUGCAGCCAUGCCGCGUGUGUGACGAAGGAGUUCGGGUUGUAAAGCACUUUCAGCGAGGAGGCGUUACUCGCCGCAGAAGCCCCGGCUAAGUCCGUGCCAGCAGCCGCGGUAAUUC
rnacentral:rRNA from 1 species